rnacentral:rRNA from 2 species
CAUGCAAGUCGAACGCACUCUCGUUUAGAUUGAAGGAGCUUGCUCCUGAUUGAUAAACAUUUGAGUGAGUGGCGGACGGGUGAGUAACACGUGGGUAACCUGCCCUAAAGUGGGGGAUAACAUUUGGAAACAGAUGCUAAUACCGCAUAAAACCUAACACCGCAUGGUGUAGGGUUGAAAGAUGGUUUCGGCUAUCACUUUAGGAUGGACCCGCGGUGCAUUAGUUAGUUGGUGAGGUAAAGGCUCACCAAGACCGUGAUGCAUAGCCGACCUGAGAGGGUAAUCGGCCACACUGGGACUGAGACACGGCCCAGACUCCUACGGGAGGCAGCAGUAGGGAAUCUUCCACAAUGGACGAAAGUCUGAUGGAGCAACGCCGCGUGAGUGAAGAAGGUUUUCGGAUCGUAAAACUCUGUUGUUGGAGAAGAAUGUAUCUGAUAGUAACUGAUCAGGUAGUGACGGUAUCCAACCAGAAAGCCACGGCUAACUACGUGCCAGCAGCCGCGGUAAUACGUAGGUGGCAAGCGUUGUCCGGAUUUAUUGGGCGUAAAGCGAGCGCAGGCGGUUUCUUAAGUCUGAUGUGAAAGCCUUCGGCUCAACCGAAGAAGUGCAUCGGAAACUGGGAAACUUGAGUGCAGAAGAGGACAGUGGAACUCCAUGUGUAGCGGUGAAAUGCGUAGAUAUAUGGAAGAACACCAGUGGCGAAGGCGGCUGUCUGGUCUGUAACUGACGCUGAGGCUCGAAAGCAUGGGUAGCAAACAGGAUUAGAUACCCUGGUAGUCCAUGCCGUAAACGAUGAGUGCUAGGUGUUGGAGGGUUUCCGCCCUUCAGUGCCGCAGCUAACGCAUUAAGCACUCCGCCUGGGAAGUACGACCGCAAGGUUGAAACUCAAAGGAAUUGACGGGGGCCCGCACAAGCGGUGGAGCAUGUGGUUUAAUUCGAAGCAACGCGAAGAACCUUACCAGGUCUUGACAUCCUUUGACCACUCUAGAGAUAGAGCUUUCCCUUCGGGGACAAAGUGACAGGUGGUGCAUGGUUGUCGUCAGCUCGUGUCGUGAGAUGUUGGGUUAAGUCCCGCAACGAGCGCAACCCUUAUUACUAGUUGCCAGCAUUUAGUUGGGCACUCUAGUGAGACUGCCGGUGACAAACCGGAGGAAGGUGGGGACGACGUCAAAUCAUCAUGCCCCUUAUGACCUGGGCUACACACGUGCUACAAUGGAUGGUACAACGAGUUGCGAGACCGCGAGGUUUAGCUAAUCUCUUAAAACCAUUCUCAGUUCGGAUUGUAGGCUGCAACUCGCCUACAUGAAGCCGGAAUCGCUAGUAAUCGCGGAUCAGCAUGCCGCGGUGAAUACGUUCCCGGGCCUUGUACACACCG